UACAGAGGGUGCAAGCGUUGCUCGGAUUUACUGGGCGUAAAGCGUACGCAGACGGCAAGGUCGGUCGAAUGUGAAAGCCCAGGGCUCAACCCUGGAAAUGCAUCCGAAACCUCCUUGCUCGAGUAUGAGAGAGGAAAGCGGAAUUCCUGGUGUAGAGGUGAAAUUCGUAGAUAUCAGGAGGAACAUCAGCGGCGAAGGCGGCUUUCUGGCUCAUUACUGACGUUCAGGUACGAAAGCGUGGGUAGCAAACAGG
rnacentral:rRNA from 1 species